rnacentral:rRNA from 1 species
UACGAAGGGGGCUAGCGUUGCUCGGAAUUACUGGGCGUAAAGCGCACGUAGGCGGCUUUCUAAGUCGGGGGUGAAAUCCUGGAGCUCAACUCCAGGACUGCCUUCGAUACUGGAAAGCUCGAGUCCGGGAGAGGUGAGUGGAACUGCGAGUGUAGAGGUGAAAUUUGUAGAUAUUCGCAAGAACACCAGUGGCGAAGGCGGCUCACUGGCCCGGUACUGACGCUGAGGUGCGAAAGCGUGGGGAGCAAACAGG